rnacentral:rRNA from 1 species
UACGUAGGGCGCAAGCGUUGUCCGGAAUUAUUGGGCGUAAAGAGCUCGUAGGCGGUUUGUCGCGUCUGCUGUGAAAACCCGAGGCUCAACCUCGGGCCUGCAGUCGAUACGGGCAAACUAGAGUACUGCAGGGGAGACUGGAAUUCCUGGUGUAGCGGUGAAAUGCGCAGAUAUCAGGAGGAACACCGGUGGCGAAGGCGGGUCUCUGGGCAGUAACUGACGCUGAGGAGCGAAAGCGUGGGGAGCGAACAGG